UGGCCAGACUCCUACGGGAGGCAGCAGUGAGGAAUAUUGGUCAAUGGGCGGGAGCCUGAACCAGCCAAGCCGCGUGAAGGAAGAAGGCGCCAAGCGUCGUAAACUUCUUUUGUCGGGGAACAAGGGCGUCACGUGUGGCGUUGUGAGUGUACCCGAAGAAAAAGCAUCGGCUAACUCCGUGCCAGCAGCCGCGGUAAUACGGAGGAUGCGAGCGUUAUCCGGAUUUAUUGGGUUUAAAGGGUGCGUAGGCGGAUUUUUAAGUCAGCGGUCAAAUCGUGGGGCUCAACCCCAUCCAGCCGUUGAAACUGGGGAUCUAGAGUGUGCGAGAGGUAUGCGGAAUGCGUGGUGUAGCGGUGAAAUGCAUAGAUAUCACGCAGAACCCCGAUUGCGAAGGCAGCAUACCGGUGCACAACUGACGCUCAGGCACGAAAGCGUGGGUAUCGAACAGGAUUAGAUACCCUAGUAGA
rnacentral:rRNA from 1 species